rnacentral:RNase_P_RNA from 1 species
AUACUAUGCUAGAUGAUCGCUUUUAUACUAUAGGUCUAAAAGAGGAAAGUCUGGACAGUAUAGAACAGGACAGUUGCUAACGGCAACCGAGGGUGACCUUAGGGAAAGUGCCACAGAGACUAUACCGCCACUUUUGUGGUAAGGGUGAAAAGAGUGGGUCUAGAGUAUCUAGAAUAGGUGAAUAAUAUCACUGAAAGUAAGAGCCCACAAUUAUUCAUGGUGACAUGAAUAAUAGGUAAACCCUGUCCACUGCAAGGAAUGAGGUUAUUGGCUGUUCGCUAGACCUUGUUGAUAUCCGCUUGAGCUAAGGAGUAAUUUUUAGCCUAGAUAGAUGAUCAUCCUAAUGACAGAAUCCAGCUUAUUGCAUAGUAUCAAU